rnacentral:rRNA from 1 species
AGCGAACGCUGGCGGCAGGCCUAACACAUGCAAGUCGAACGAACCUUUCGGGGUUAGUGGCGGACGGGUGAGUAACACGUGGGAACGUGCCUUUAGGUUCGGAAUAACUCAGGGAAACUUGUGCUAAUACCGAAUGUGCCCUUCGGGGGAAAGAUUUAUCGCCUUUAGAGCGGCCCGCGUCUGAUUAGCUAGUUGGUUGAGGUAAUGGCUCACUAAGGCGACGAUCAGUAGCUGGUCUGAGAGGAUGAUCAGCCACAUUGGGACUGAGACACGGCCCAAACUCCUACGGGAGGCAGCAGUGGGGAAUCUUGCGCAAUGGGCGAAAGCCUGACGCAGCCAUGCCGCGUGAAUGAUGAAGGUCUUAGGAUUGUAAAAUUCUUUCAACGGGGACGAUAAUGACGGUACCCGGAGAAGAAGCCCCGGCUAACUUCGUG